rnacentral:misc_RNA from 1 species
CGAAGAUCGUCGAUGGUGAAGCCCAACUACUUGAAAAUGGUGACGGAUUCUGAUGCUGCAGAUCUGAUCUCCUCUGAUCUUCGGGAACUCGGUAACGCUGUUACAAAGCUUGCUACACACGCAGUUAAGCUCGGUGCUUCGGGUUUUGCCGCUUCUUUUCUCCAAUGGAUUGCUUCCUUUGCUGCUAUUUACUUGUUGAUUUUGGAUCGAACGAACUGGAAAACGAAUAUCCUUACCUCAUUGUUGAUUCCUUACAUUUUCUUCAGUC